CGUGGAAGAGGCAGGAGUGGCCCAAGUGUUCUCGCGCCGUGGUAGUUUGUGUAAGAUAGCGUAGCUUAUUAGUCGUGUGUGCAAAAGUUAAACGGUGUGUUAUCGUGUGUGCUGGUGGUUGAUAACGACAGAUCCGUGACCACGCCGCUACGACGCCCGACAACCCACACCGAACCAUCGAGGCCAUUCUUGACCCCACCAUCAGAUUGCGAGGUUCUCCCGGGGCACGCCGGAAGAGGGACGCGAUCGCCAAUCAACGCGCGCCCUAGGCAGGGCAUCACAGAAGAAGAAGAAGAAGAAGAAGAAGAGAGAAGACAACCGUUUUCCGUUGGUGACGACCGACGGACAUCGACGCACGUGCCGCGUCGCGCCAAACCAUCGAUGAGACCGUAAGUUCUAUCCGGAGCAAAGUCAUCCGUAGGCGACAACCGCAGUCGCAGCGUCAUCAGCUAGCCCAGCUAGCCCAACCGCCGACCCGCCGGCAAACCGCGAUGUAAGAUUCAUCCCAUCCGUUCAACAAACAGCAGUAGCAACAUCAACCGCUAGGCAAGCCGCCGACCCGCCGGCGAUCAGCAAGUAAUUCGCCGCCAUCGUCCGCAAGUGCACAUGGACGCCGCGUAAGUCGUCCAUUCAAAGUGAGUACUCCUUUCUAAAUACAUGCGCAUGUGAUUUUCUGCCGCAACAUAGCCCUAUUCCGUUGCUAGGCGAAGACACGGCUUCGCCGUGAGAAAUAUGUUGAGUGCCGAUUAAGCACAAUAGUCGUUGCGUUUGCGUAGCGCGUUAGAAAAUUGCACGUUUCUGUUGAGUGAACCACACCAGGAGAGCACACACGAUAGGAGGCUAGGGACA